rnacentral:rRNA from 1 species
AAGUCUGGUGCCAGCAGCCGCGGUAAUUCCAGCUCUAAUAGCGUAUAUUAAUAUUGUUGCAGUUAAAAGCUCGUAGUUGAAAUUUGGGGACUUAAUUAUAUUGGUUUAUCUUUUGAUGAACUGUAUAAUGGGUUUCUUCCUACUAGGAUUCGAUUCUGUCCUUAACUGGAUGGAGUAGUCAUCUCUCGGGGUGAUCAAUUUGUUGUUAUGCCUCCACUAAUAAGCGGAGAGGGGUAAAACUCUCAAAGUAAGUUUUGUGGGUCAAGGUAUAAUGGUGAAUUGGAGUUCUAGUUCAUUUACUUUGAGAAAAUUAGAGUGUUUAAAGCAGCCUCUUGGGGCACUGAAUACAUUAGCAUGGGAUAAUAAAAUAGGAUCUUUACAAUAUAUUUUAUUGGUUUAAAUUGAAAUAAAGAUAAUGAUUAAUAGGG